rnacentral:rRNA from 1 species
UUUAACUGAAGAGUUUGAUCAUGGCUCAGAUUGAACGCUGGCGGCAGGCUUAACACAUGCAAGUCGAGCGGGGGAAGGUAGCUUGCUACUGGACCUAGCGGCGGACGGGUGAGUAAUGCUUAGGAAUCUGCCUAUUAGUGGGGGCAACAUCUCGAAAGGGAUGCUAAUACCGCAUACGUCCUACGGGAGAAAGCAGGGGAUCUUCGGACCUUGCGCUAAUAGAUGAGCCUAAGUCGGAUUAGCUAGUUGGUGGGGUAAAGGCCUACCAAGGCGACGAUCUGUAGCGGGUCUGAGAGGAUGAUCCGCCACACUGGGACUGAGACACGGCCCAGACUCCUACGGGAGGCAGCAGUGGGGAAUAUUGGACAAUGGGGGGAACCCUGAUCCAGCCAUGCCGCGUGUGUGAAGAAGGCCUUAUGGUUGUAAAGCACUUUAAGCGAGGAGGAGGCUACUUUAGUUAAUACCUAGAGAUAGUGGACGUUACUCGCAGAAUAAGCACCGGCUAACUCUGUGCCAGCAGCCGCGGUAAUACAGAGGGUGCGAGCGUUAAUCGGAUUUACUGGGCGUAAAGCGUGCGUAGGCGGCUUAUUAAGUCGGAUGUGAAAUCCCCGAGCUUAACUUGGGAAUUGCAUUCGAUACUGGUGAGCUAGAGUAUGGGAGAGGAUGGUAGAAUUCCAG